CGCCAUUAUAGGAUUCGCACCACGGUUUCAUUUUCGCGCAAACUUUGUUCUAUAAAAAGCCUUCCCCCAUUCGUUCUUUCCUUUUCUCUGAUGGAAGUCUUUGGGACUCCGUAUAGUUUCAAUGAUGCUUCUGUAAUGCUCACUCUCAAGAAAAGUUUAAACGCGCUGAGUAAGCUCAGGUGGACGAACUCAGACCAAUGUCAAUGAGACAACGUUGGGUGCUUGCCCGAUAAGUAGGUCACUUGGAUUCAGAUCGGACGGUAAGGACUGACGGGGACUCUAUCGGCGAACAUCGGCAACCUUACUGCAUUGCAACGAUUUGAGAUCAUGUUCAACGAACUCAGUGGGGAUCUACCGAGUAUGGCCGGGUUGGAUCAAUUACAGAUUCUCUUUCUUAGAAACAAUAAUUUUUUGUUGAUUCCCUCAGAUUUCUUCUUUGGGAUGUCGCCGUUGUAAGCCGUAAGUCUCAACUACAAUCCCUUCUUGUCGUGGGUGAUUCUGGAUAGCCUUAAAAGUGCUGUGGUGGUUCAAAAUUUCUCGACGAAUUCGGUGAACAUAAUUAGCAGAAUCCUAGAAUUUUUUGGGAGUGACACUUUCAUGGGUAUGAUUAAUUUUUAUUUAGAUUUUAAUAGUCUCGAAGGUGAAUUGCCUGGAAACUUUUUGACUUCAUUAAUUAUGUCCCUAUGGUUGAAUGGGAGGAAGAGUAUAUCUAAACUCAAUGGCAUGAUUCAAUUGUUACAAG